CGUAGGGACCAAGCGUUGUUCGGAUUUACUGGGCGUAAAGGGCGCGUAGGCGGCGCGGUAAGUCACUUGUGAAAUCUCUGAGCUUAACUCAGAACGGCCAAGUGAUACUGCAGUGCUAGAGUGUGGAAGGGGCAAUCGGAAUUCUUGGUGUAGCGGUGAAAUGCGUAGAUAUCAAGAGGAACACCUGAGGUGAAGACGGGUUGCUGGGCCAACACUGACGCUGAGGCGCGAAAGCCAGGGGAGCAAACGGGAUUAGAUACCCCGGUAGUCCUGGCCCUAAACGAUGAAUACUUGGUGUCUGGAGUUUUAAUGCUCCGGGUGCCGUCGCUAACGUUUUAGUAUUCCGCCUGGGGAUACGCUCGCAAGAGUG
rnacentral:rRNA from 1 species